CAAAUUUACCUCUGUUAGAUGUGGGCAACAUGUCUUUGAUGAACACAGAUAAGCACGUGAGGAUUUUCUUGUCAUGGAGGUCAUAAAAUGGUCUUGAGUAUCUACUGGCUGUCUGAAUAUGCAACCACUGCUAGAGGACCAGGAAGGAUUUGUAAGAAAUAAGAAAACAAACUAGCAAUCUUUUCAUCUACCAGUAAUACAAAGGCAUCUUCAAAGCACUAGCUCAGAGAACUGCUAGACUGCAGAAAAAAAAAGUAUCUUUGCAGACAGUUAUAUCUAUAUGGAGGCACCCUGAGAAUGCAAUAUAUGGAGAGUGAAAGAGAAAAAAAGAAAACUUUGGGGCUUUGGUACUGUUUACAGA